AUGUCAACAGUAACUACUAAGAUUAAGAUUUUAUCGUGUAUAUAUAUAUAUAUGUGUGUGUGUGUGUGUGUGUGUGUGUGUGUAUAUAUAUAUAUAUAUAUAUAUAUAUAUAUAUAUAUGUAUGUAUGUAUGUAUGUAUGUAUGUAUAUAUAUAUAUAUAUAUAUAUAUAUAUAUAUAUAUAUAUAUAUAUAUAUAUAUAUAUAUAUAUAUAUAUGUGUGUAUAUAUAUAUAUAUAUAUAUAUAUAUGUAUAUAUAUAUAUAUAUGUAGCAGGGUGACCUGUAUUUCUCCCAUAUAUCUGUUUCAGCCUCAGUCACCUCCCUUUUACCUGUAUUGUGACUUGUGCCACUACGCAACGGUUGCUCUACCGGAUGGCGUCGUAACUAAUCCCCGGCACUCCGCUGACAGAGUAGUGUUCCUGUCUGGGCCGUAUCUUUGGGAGGCGCGGUUUGGUGGUUUGCCGUGUACUUGCAUGUAUUUAAGUAGGGUGUUACCUGCUCAAUUCAUACAUUUUUACAAUUGUUUAUUAAUAGUAUUUUGUUUUAGGACCAGCAUUGGUGGAGUUGGAGACGGUCACAUUCUGGCGCUGGCGCUUCAGUGCUCCUAUUUUCAUCUCAUAGAAUAAUAACAUGACUUUUUCAACCAUUUAAAAAUAAACUUUGUAGACUUGAACUGGAAACACGUCUCUGUAAGUCUUUACACAAAUCUUUAUUAUAAAUGUUGUUUGUUUUUGUACUAUUGUUGCGGUCACAUUCAUAUACAUAAAUUCUGAUAAGACUUGGACAUCCCCAACUCCAAUUACACCAUCUCUCAACAUGCCACUACUUGUGUGCUAUUAAUCAUUCACAUAGACCUAUUAAGAAAUAAUUUGGUACAGUACUAUAAAUUAAUCUGUAACAGGGGUUGACACUAAGGUUUCAAAAGCACUUGCCCAUCGGGCAAGUACAGGUCAGGUUCAACUUGCCCGAAUGUAAUGUUCACUUGCCCAAAUUAUAAUCAGAAUCGUGAACGGGCCUCCUUUUGCCAGGCACCCGGCCUGGUUUUGGGGGGGCUCAGAAAAAUCAUCCUAGCUCAGACUGAAGCUGAAUGUUAGCUUCCACACAUGUUUAAAAAAUAACAAACUUCUCUUUGUUUACUUAUUUAUCGAGCGGUCACAUCGUGCCAUGAAGUGAUUUCAGUCCACAGUUGCAACCUAUUAAAGCUAUCGCCAAGUUAUAUGUAGACCUGCAUGAUUUCAUGCAAAUGUACAUAACUAAAUGUCAGAGGUAGUAGCAAAGAUAUGUCUUUUUUAACUUUCAAGUUUCUUGUAGCUCUAACUGAAUAAUCACAAUCACGUUUCUAGUAGGGUUGUCAGUCACGAUACUGGAUUUUCUAACUUCAACACUAUUCCUGGAAAAAGAUCGAUAUUCUAUACCAUUUUCGAUAUCAGGGAAAAACGUUUUUUUCAGGAAAGAACAUACCCAAAGUAAAGAGAUUUUAUCUCCACAACUGCAAGGGCGAUAAUGUCAUCUUUGGGAAAAAAGAAAGAUUGUUGUGCAAGUGAAAUAUUCAAUGGGGAUAAUACUUGGUUAAAGUGAAUAAAGCCAUGGAACACAGCAUAAGUGGAAGAUAACAUUUCCACCUGAAAUAAUUAUCAGUAUCAGUUGGUCGUUAUCAGUUGGGAGUGCUGUCUUACUAUGAGACACAAAUAAGGUAGAUAUCUUUCAAUUUUGACACUUGACACCUCUAUUUAAAGUUCAGGGCAAUCGAAUGCACCAAGCCAAACACUCGCAAAUAAAUAUAUGGCCACUAGAUUGCGCUGAAGAAUAUGUUUUCUGAUUGAAGGCAAUUUACCUAUUUCCUAAGAAACCUUCUCUUAUUCAUUGAUUGAAAACACCAUGUUAAGUUGCAAAAUUGGGCCCAGAUACUGGAUAAUCUGUUUAUGGUGGUUUUAUUCGAUCAGAAUCAACUUUGUGGACAAAAAUCACAAAGGUACUUCAUUUUGGUUGUUAAAAGAAAAGGGGACGUUUCUUCUUAAGUUGUUAUUUGCGAGUUUUAGUCACAGAAUGAUAUGGUUUGGACUGUUGGAAUAAGUGGAGGCUCAGCUUUCAUGUAAUAUAUACAGUAGUUUGUGAGGGUCCAAUUUUG
ensembl:lncRNA